rnacentral:rRNA from 2 species
UGUGACGGCGUGCCUUUUGUAGAAUGAGCCAGCGAGUUGCGGUGUGCGGCGAGGUUAAGUUUGUAAACGAGCCGCAGCGAAAGCGAGCCUUUAAGAUGGCGAGUGAGUCGCACGCUGCAGACGCGAAGCCGGGUGAGCUAUCCAUGGGCAGGCUGAAGCGGGGGUAAGACCCCGUGGAGGGCCGAACCCACUUCGGUUGAAAACGGAGGGGAUGACCCGUGGAUAGGGGUGAAAGGCCAAUCAAACCCGGAGAUAUCUCGUUCUCCCCGAAAUAGCUUUAGGGCUAGCCUCGGCCGUUCACCCGCGGUGGUAGAGCCACCGGAUCGACGAGGGGGCUUCACCGCCUACCGACUCGAGCCGAACUCCGAAUGCCGCGGGUACACAGGCCGGGAGUCAGAGGGCGUGGGCUAAGCUGCGCGCUCGAGAGGGAAACAGCCCAGACCGCCCGCUAAGGCCCCCAAGUCAUCGCUGAGUGGCAAAGGAUGUGCGUCUGCCCAGACAACCAGGAUGUUGGCUUAGAAGCAGCCAUGCAUUUAAAGAGUGCGUAACAGCUCACUGGUCGAGUGGACAUGCGCCGACAAUUCACGGGGCUAAGCGAUGCGCCGAAGCGGCGGACUGAAGAUUCAGUGGUAGGGGAGCUCUCCGCAGGGGGAGAAGCCGGGGGGCGACCCCCGGUGGACCGUGCGGAGGUGAGAAUGCUGGCAUGAGUAACGAGAGCGGCGCGAGAAACGCCGCCGCCGUGAGCCUAAGGGUUCCUGGGCGAGGCUAAUCCCCCCAGGGUCAGUCGGGAGCUAAGGCGAGGCCGGGAGGCGUAGCCGAUGCGCAGCGGGCAGAGAUUCCCGCACCGCCGACGGCGCGGCACUACCGAUGGGGCGACGGAGAAGGGUAGCCGGGCGGGGUUCUGGACGUCCCCGUGAAAGCGCGUAGGGCGAGGAGCGUGGAAAUCAGCUCCUCAUGUGAGCCUGAGACGCGAGACGAAGCGACUUGGCGAAGCCGGUGAGCCCAUGCUUCCGAGAAAAACCUCUAGGGAGUGCCGUCGGCGCCCGUACCAAAACCGACACAGGUGGGCGGGUAGAACAUACCGAGGCGAUCGGGAGAACCACGGUUAAGGAACUCGGCAUACUGGCCCCGUAACUUCGGGAGAAGGGGCGCCCCCGCCGGUGAAGGACCUCGCGUCCGGAGCUAGUGGGGGCCGCAGCGAAACGGCCCAAGCGACUGUUUAUCAAAAACACAGGACUCUGCAAAGCCGCAAGGCGACGUAUAGGGUCUGACGCCUGCCCGGUGCCGGAAGGUUACGCGGAUGGGUUAGCGCAAGCGAAGCCCUGAAGCCAAGCCCCGGUAAACGGCGGCCGUAACUAUAACGGUCCUAAGGUAGCGAAAUUCCUUGUCGGGUAAGUUCCGACCUGCACGAAUGGCGUAACGAUUUGGGCGCUGUCUCAACCGUGGACCCGGUGAAAUUGUACUGUUCGUGAAGAUGCGAACUACCCGCGGAAGGACGGAAAGACCCCGUGAACCUUUACUGCAGCUUGGCAUUGGCAUCUGGUACGGCGCGUAGAGGAUAGGCGGGAGCCAUCGAAGCGGGGGCGCAAGCCCCCGUGGAGGCGACCUUGGAAUACCGCCCUCGUCGUGCCGGCUGCCUAACGCGCGGCCGUGAUCCGGCGCGCGGACCGUGCCAGGCGGGUAGUUUGACUGGGGCGGUCGCCUCCCAAAAUGUAACGGAGGCGCGCGUAAGGUCCGCUCAGGACGGUCGGCAACCGUCCCGAGAGCGCAAGAGUGCAAGCGGGCUUGACUGCGAGACUGACAAGUCGGGCAGGUGCGAAAGCAGGUUCUAGUGAUCCGGCGGCCCAGAGUGGAAUGGCCGUCGCUCAACGGAUAAAAGGUACUCCGGGGAUAACAGGCUGAUCUUGCCCAAGAGUCCACAUCGACGGCAAGGUUUGGCACCUCGAUGUCGGCUCAUCGCAUCCUGGGGCUGAAGUCGGUCCCAAGGGUACGGCUGUUCGCCGUUUAAAGCGGUACGCGAGCUGGGUUCAGAACGUCGUGAGACAGUUCGGUCCCUAUCCUCCGCGGGCGCAAGGGAGUUGAGGAGAUCUGCCCCUAGUACGAGAGGACCGGGGUGGACGGACCUCUGGUGACGCGGUUGUCGGCCAACGGCACCGCCGCCUAGCUACGUCCGGCACGGAUAACCGCUGAAGGCAUCUAAGUGGGAAGCCGCCUCCGAGAUGAGCUCCCUUUCCGGUAAGGGCCCUGGUAGAACACCAGGUCGAUAGGAUGCAGCUGCAAGCGCGGCGACGCGCUCAGGCGAGCAUUACUAAUAGCCCGAGCUCUUCGCUUG